UACGUAGGGACCAAGCGUUGUCCGGAAUCAUUGGGCGUAAAGAGCGUGUAGGCGGCCUGUUAAGUCUUGCGUGAAAUCUCGGGGCUCAACCCCGAGCGGUCGUGAGAAACUGGCAGGCUAGGGUUCUGGAGAGGGUCGUGGAAUUCCCGGUGUAGCGGUGAAAUGCGUAGAGAUCGGGAGGAACACCAGAGGCGAAGGCGGCGACCUGGACAGAUACUGACACUCAACUACGAAAGCGUGGGGAGCAAACAGG
rnacentral:rRNA from 1 species